rnacentral:lncRNA from 1 species
GAUUGAAAUCUCCAACUUUUGCUAGGGUUCUUGUACACCCACAUCUAAAACAAGACAGAUGAAAUCCAAAAAAUUUGAUAAUGCAUGUUGGAUUUGAGCUACAAACUAGAAUGGAUAAGUAUCUUCAAGCAAGGUAUGAUUGUCCAACCCCACAAACCUGAAUGUGGGUGUUAUUAUGUGUUCUAGACAUGUAAUUGGUUGAUGUAACCAUAAAUGAUGCAAGCUUUUUCUUAUUGAUUUAUUUAUGUUUGUAUGCUAAUGUGUUGGAAUAAUGAUUAACAAAGGUUAAUUAGUUACUAGUCUUAAAGAAUCAUGGUUCAUGAAUGCUAAUGGUAGAAUUAUGUAGGCUAUGUAUGUUUACAUGGAUCUUUUACUAGGAUGCACACCAAGUGUUUGUAGAAAUGCCUUUAAGAAGGUGAAAGUUAGAAUUUGUUGAAGUUGAAUUAGUUGUUGCCCUGUUUUAGAAAAUUUGUGUAAAAUCAUAGAAAUUUCAUGUAAAUAUGAUACUUAUAUGCUUAGAAAGCCCUUUGAGUUUAUUCUAUUUCAUGUUUGAGCACAAAGACUUGGUUUGAAUGUUAAACGGAUCAAAAUACAUGGUUUUUAGCAUCAACUCAGAACUUUCAACAAUGCUGAUUGAAAGAAUUUAUGCUGCUGGCCUGUUUUUGAAAACUUCAUAUAAAAUCAACCAUAGCUCGCUUUAAGGCGUAAGAUAUAUAGUUAGAAAGCUAUCCGAAGCUACGACGUUUUAUACUUAGGGGUGAAAAUGAGGCGAGAACAGCUGCUACACAAAAAGUGCAGCAGUGAAAAAAAUGUGUUUCAUGAAAUUAACACGAAUGAUUGUCUAGAUACCCAUUGCCUAAACACUAAAUGUUAUUUUGGAUGAAUGAUUACAAUUGUUAAGGUGUGUUGAAAAUGUUUAUAUACCUAAGAAUUGAUUGUGCAAGUAUUCACUUAAAUAAGUCAAACAAAUUAUUAUAUAGUCAAUAAUAUAGUAAAGAAGUAUUAUUGUAGAUGAAUACAAGAGAAAGCAAGUGGAUUAUUAUCAAUGUAUUUGAAUGGCUUGUACAACUACAAGGUGUAUGUAUUCUAAUGAUUGAAGGAAUGAACUUGUUGCCAAGUUAGGUGUGGCAAAGCUUGGAAGACAACAUGGCGAACAAGUAGAAAUGAUGACGACUUUCGUACGGGCCAAGUAUCAAGCUGCAGGUUUUGUGACGAGACUAAGGACGGAUUUUUGACAUAAAAGUUUUAUCAAAUGUGGUAAGGAAUAAUUGUAUGAUUUUGAAGGUAACUUGCUAUAAGAGAUAAAGGUAUACGAGUAUUGAAGCUAAAAUUUAUGACAUUGAAGAUCGAGUCUGAAGUUUGGAUUGUACGAGUUGGGCAAGGAUUAGUUGGUUCAUAAGUAGACUAUGAACACUCUUCAAGGAAGGAUUGUAACACCUAGCUAAUAGUAUUAAAGAAAUACAAUUGGCAAUUGAUAUUAAGUGUAAAUUGUCAAACGAUUUUUUUGGGAUCAAUUUCCGCUGCUAAAUAAAUAUAGAAAUCUUGUU